rnacentral:rRNA from 1 species
UACGGAGGGGGCUAGCGUUGUUCGGAAUUACUGGGCGUAAAGCGCACGUAGGCGGUGGUGCAUGUCAGAUGUGAAAGCCCUGGGCUUAACCUAGGAAUUGCAUUUGAAACUGCGCCGCUAGAGACCGGAAGAGGGUAGUGGAAUUCCCAGUGUAGAGGUGAAAUUCGUAGAUAUUGGGGAGAACACCAGUGGCGAAGGCGGCUACCUGGUCCGGUACUGACGCUGAGGUGCGAAAGCGUGGGGAGCAAACAGG